rnacentral:rRNA from 1 species
UUCGAUGAAGAACGCAGCGAAAUGCGAUAAGUAAUGUGAAUUGCAGAAUUCAGUGAAUCAUCGAAUCUUUGAACGCACAUUGCGCCCUUUGGUAUUCCUUAGGGCAUACCUGUUCGAGCGUC